CUUGAGGUGGCCGAGUGUUGUUUAAUAGGUGUUAGGCUUUUAACCUAAUUACGAUGUUUAAAAUAUUACAUCCCUUGAGA
rnacentral:tRNA from 1 species